GCGAGAAAACUUUGCAAUGUGCGAAAGCACGACAAGGUUAAUCCGAGUGGUCUCUGCUGAAGAGACCUUUUGACAGUCCUAGAAACACUGUCGAAUAAGGGGUGGGCAAGUUCUGGUGUCAGCCGCCGCGGUAAAACCAGCACCUCAAGUGGUCAGGAUGAUUAUUGGGCCUAAAGCAUCCGUAGCCGGAUCUGUAAGUUUUCGGUUAAAUCUAUGCGCUCAACGUAUAGGCUGCCGGGAAUACUGCAGGUCUAGGGAGUGGGAGAGGUAGACGGUACUCGGUAGGAAGAGGUAAAAUUCACUAAUCUAUCGAUGACCACCUGUGGCGAAGGCGGUCUACCAGAACACGUCCGACGGUGAGGGAUGAAAGCUGGGGGAGCAAACCGG
rnacentral:rRNA from 1 species